rnacentral:rRNA from 1 species
UACGUAGGGGGCAAGCGUUGUCCGGAUUUAUUGGGCGUAAAGAGCGUGUAGGCGGUUCGGUAAGUCUUAUGUGAAAUCUACAGGCUCAACUUGUAGUCUGCAUGAGAAACUGCCGGGCUUGAGUAUGGGAGAGGUGAGUGGAAUUCCUGGUGUAGCGGUGAAAUGCGUAGAUAUCAGGAGGAACACCUGUGGCGAAAGCGGCUCACUGGACCAUAACUGACGCUGAUGCACGAAAGCUAGGGGAGCAAACAGG